UCCGUAGGGUGAACCUGCGGAGGGAUCAUUACCGAGUUUACAACUCCCAAACCCAUGUGAACAUACCUACUGUUGCUUCGGCGGGAUUGCCCCGGGCGCCUCGUGUGCCCCGGAUCAGGCGCCCGCCUAGGAAACUUAAUUCUUGUUUUAUUUUGGAAUCUUCUGAGUAGUUUUUACAAAUAAAUAAAAACUUUCAACAACGGAUCUCUUGGUUCUGGCAUCGAUGAAGAACGCAGCGAAAUGCGAUAAGUAAUGUGAAUUGCAGAAUUCAGUGAAUCAUCGAAUCUUUGAACGCACAUUGCGCCCGCCAGUAUUCUGGCGGGCAUGCCUGUCUGAGCGUCAUUUCAACCCUCAUGCCCCUAGGGCGUGGUGUUGGGGAUCGGCCAAAGCCCGCGAGGGACGGCCGGCCCCUAAAUCUAGUGGCGGACCCGUCGUGGCCUCCUCUGCGAAGUAGUGAUAUUCCGCAUCGGAGAGCGACGAGCCCCUGCCGUUAAACCCCCAACUUUCCAAGGUUGACCUCAGAUCAGGUAGGAAUACCCGCUGAACUUAAGCAUAUCAAUAAGCGGAGGAA
rnacentral:rRNA from 1 species